AUUGAACGCUGGCGGCGCGCCUAACACAUGCAAGUCGAACGAGCGAGAGAGAGCUUGCUUUCUCAAGCGAGUGGCGAACGGGUGAGUAACGCGUGAGGAACCUGCCUCAAAGAGGGGGACAACAGUUGGAAACGACUGCUAAUACCGCAUAAGCCCACGACCCGGCAUCGGGUAGAGGGAAAAGGAGCAAUCCGCUUUGAGAUGGCCUCGCGUCCGAUUAGCUAGUUGGUGAGGUAAUGGCCCACCAAGGCGACGAUCGGUAGCCGGACUGAGAGGUUGAACGGCCACAUUGGGACUGAGACACGGCCCAGACUCCUACGGGAGGCAGCAGUGGGGAAUAUUGCACAAUGGAGGAAACUCUGAUGCAGCGACGCCGCGUGAGCGAAGAAGUAUUUCGGUAUGUAAAGCUCUGUCAGCAGGGAAGAUAAUGACGGUACCUGACCAAGAAGCCCCGGCUAACUACGUG
rnacentral:rRNA from 1 species